rfam:Protochlamydia naegleriophila strain KNic genome assembly, chromosome: cPNK
GUUCUCGUAGCUCAGGUGGAUAGAGCGGUUGCCUCCUAAGCAACAGGCCGCGCGUUCGAGUCGCGCCGAGGACA